GCUCCAUUGGCCUAAUGGUAAGGCGUCCGCCUCCUAAACUAAGAUUCGAUAAAAAGAAUUUUGUGACUGGACGUUGUCAAGCGGAAGACUGCGGGUUCGAGUCCCGUGUGGAGUG